CUCUUCUCCUCUGCUGUCUUUCUUCGUCUCACCUCCCAGAUGCUGCCCAGCUCUACCAGCAGUACAGCGAGGCUGCCCAGAACUUUGAGAUCCUGCGCCAGGCUCGCCCUGAUGUCACCUCUGUGUGCGAGGACAACACACCAUCACCCGCGCCCUCGCCUCCUCCUGCCCGCAGACCUCUGCCUCCUCUACCCCCUGUCCCGCACCCGCACUCCUUGACCCACACAGGCUCCAUCACCAGUGUCAAUAGCUUGCCUCUCCCCGAGCCCCCCAGGAGUGAAGGCAGGCCUUCCUCCCCACGUCUGUCCAUCUGUCUCUCGCAGUCGGCCACACUGUGGCGGGACCUGCCGGGGGUCAGGAACAGUGUUGAGCUGGAGGAGCUCACAGAGGACCAGAGGAGACUACAGGAGGUCAGAUUUGAGGUGGUAACUUCAGAGGCCUCCUACUGCCGGAGUUUGGACAUUGUUGUUGGACACUUUGUCAAGUCCAAACAGCUGGGGUCGCUGUUAACCACUCAAGAUAGAAACUGGCUAUUUUCCAGACUUGCUGACGUCCGUGCAAUCAGCCACAGUUUUUUGUCAAAGCUGG